rnacentral:rRNA from 1 species
UACAGAGGGUGCGAGCGUUGUUCGGAAUUACUGGGCGUAAAGCGCGCGCAGGCGGCCUUUUAAGUCUGACGGUGAAAUGCCGGGGCUCAACCCCGUGCCCGCCGGAGAUACUGGGAGGCUGGAGACGAGUAGAGGCAAGCGGAAUUCCGGGUGUAGCGGUGAAAUGCGUAGAUAUCUGGAGGAACACCGGUGGCGAAGGCGGCAUCCUGGACCGGCAUUGACGCUGAGGCGCGAAAGCCAGGGGAGCAAACGGG